UACGGAGGGGGCUAGCGUUAUUCGGAAUUAUUGGGCGUAAAGGGCGCGUAGGCGGCCCGGUAAGUCAAAGGUGAAAUCCCUCGGCUCAACUGAGGAACUGCCUUUGAAACUGUCGGGCUUGAGGCCGGGAGGGGGUAGCGGAAUUCCCAGUGUAGCGGUGAAAUGCGUAGAUAUUGGGAGGAACACCGGUGGCGAAGGCGGCUCACUGGCUCGUAUCUGACGCUCAGGCGCGACAGCGUGGGGAUCAAACAGG
rnacentral:rRNA from 1 species